rnacentral:rRNA from 1 species
UACGUAGGGUCCGAGCGUUUGUCCGGAAUUAUUGGGCGUAAAGGGCUCGUAGGCGGUUCGUCACGUCGGGAGUGAAAACUCGGGGCUUAACCCCGAGCCUGCUUCCGAUACGGGCAGACUAGAGGUAGGCAGGGGAGAGCGGAACUCCUGGUGUAGCGGUGGAAUGCGCAGAUAUCAGGAGGAACACCGGUGGCGAAGGCGGGUCUCUGGGCCGAUACUGACGCUGAGGAGCGAAAGCGUGGGUAGCAAACAGG